rnacentral:tRNA from 2 species
GGCGAGGUUCCCGAGCGGUCAAAGGGGACGGACUGUAAAUCCGUUGGCUCCGCCUUCGAAGGUUCGAAUCCUUCCCUCGUCACCA